CAUCUACCUCAUCUCCGUAGGACUACCCGCUGAACUUAAGCAUAUCAAUAAGCGGAGGAAAAGAAACCAACCGGGAUUGCCUCAGUAACGGCGAGUGAAGCGGCAAAAGCUCAAAUUUGGAAUCGCGCAAGCGAGUUGUAAAUUGAAGAGCGUCUCUUGCGUCCGGGUCUUGUCGAAGUUCCUUGGAACAGGACGUCGCAGAGGGUGAGAAUCCCGUGCGAUGAGGCCUUGGGCGUGUGUAGAGGCGACUCGACGAGUCGAGUUGUUUGGGAAUGCAGCUCCAAGUGGGUGGUAAAUUCCAUCUAAAGCUAAAUACAGGCGAGAGACCGAUAGCGAACAAGUACAGUGAUGGAAAGAUGAAAAGAACUUUGAAAAGAGAGUGAAAAAGUACGUGAAAUUGUUGAAAGGGAAGGGCUUGGGAUCAGACUGCGCAAGCGGCCAGCAUGAGGUGCUGCGGCGAGACAAGACGGCAGGAAGGUGGCCCGGCUGCGGCCGGGUGUUAUAGCCUGCCGGGAUGUCGCCAGCGGCGCCUGAGGAGUGCGCAUUCGCAAGGAUGCUGGCAUAAUGAUCCCCAGCCGCCCGUCUUGAAACACGGACCAAGGAGUCUAACGUCUAUGCGAGUGUUUGGGUGUCAAACCCGGGCGCGCAAUGAAAGUAAGAGGUGGGGGCCGCAAGGUGCACCAUCGACCGAUCCAGAAGUGUUCGGAUGGAUUUGAGUAGGAGCAUAGCUGUUGGGACCCGAAAGAUGGUGAACUAUACCUGAAUAGGGUGAAGCCAGAGGAAACUCUGGUGGAGGCUCGUAGCGGUUCUGACGUGCAAAUCGAUCGUCGAAUU
rnacentral:rRNA from 1 species